AAAAGAUUCUUGCCCCUCUGCGUUAUUCACUUGCGAAUUGGCAUAAUGAAUGGAAAUUUAAAAUGAAUUUAACAUGUUUUCUAUUGACGUUCAGAACACACAAAUAGGUGAUGAUACUGAAACAGAUUUAGACCUUCAGGCCAAGUCUUCAGUAUUUUUAUUUGACUUUUUAUAAUUUUCCCACUGUAUUUUUGAUGAAUUUAUAUAGAGGCACGUAAUAAGAUCUAUUUUUAAACGUAUCACUCAGGCGGCGGGAGGGAUGUUGCACUGUCACUCUCACUUGAUUUUGCACUAUGUCAUUAAUUUCUUUUACAAGAAUCAAUCUGUCAAACGAAAAGCACUCACAUAAAUAAAUAUGAUAUGAUCGAUAUCACCAACAGGAUUGCAGAAGGUGCAGUGGCUGCUCGCCACUAUGCCCAACCUAGCCAGGUGGGCCGGGACGGUGGAGUGACCAAAACGCAAUCCGUUUAUAGUCGUAAUAAAGUCGCGACUGGCCAUUUUCAGUUUGUUAUACCAUGGUGCUACAGUACAAUGAGAGGGAGAACUGGGAAAUAACCUCAUAAGAGCUCACCUCCUGAAGUCAGCUGGGCCGAGCUUUGUACAGGAAAAGCGUCUGUCUGACCUCAAUACGAAAUCAAGAUGGCGGCGUCUGAGCGCAGGCGUUCGGAUCGACGGAGCGGGAGCUCCCACCAAACACGUCCGUACGCUACGAGAGCUCGCGCGCGACUUAUCAGAGAAGCCAACUAUCAGACCACAAUGGUCAGAAGUAAGGUUUGUUAUUACUGAUUUAGAAACACAUUUGUCACUCAAAAAUAUGUUAUCUAAACAAGUCGCUGAAUGGGAGGUGAUUCUAGUUGGUUCAGAGAAUUGGUUUACAAAAUUCAAACAUUUAAAAUUUGAAACAAAUCUAGCGCUUACUGAACUACUUUCAAGUAUGUUUAUGUUAAGGUCUCCGCAAAUGAUGACCGAUUUUCGUUUACUAGUCAGUCUUUUAAGUACAUCUUCCAUUACUGACUCAAAUUUGUAGUAAUCCCCGGAAGGGGGCCGGUACACGCAUACUAUAACAUAAUUCUCCAGUUCUACACAAGAUAAUUCAAUAACACAUUCAAUUGAUAGACUUACAAUAUCCUUACGAUCUUUGUAUUUGACACAACUAUUUACUAAUAUUAAUGAACCACCACGAAUAGUAUAUAUAUAAUAUAAUAUGCUACACAAUUGGAAGUUGUCAAUGACAACAGUUUCAUAACUUCUUAGCUAAUGUUCUGUCAUGUAAAUAACUUCAAUUUCGCGACUUUUUGUAAACAGUUCUAAUUCUAAUUAAUUGCCAGCCAAACCUUGUACAUUUUGAUAAACAAUUCUUAAUAAAACUGGCUUGGCUUUUGUCUUAGGUCCUAGUUUAAAUUUGUAAAAGGUACAUUUUUCGUGGCAGUUUUACUAUGUGUCACCGAUACCUUUUUAUUAUAAUCACAAUCAUAUUUCUUUAUCAAUUUGACAGUUUCUUUAAAAUUAUAUGCUAUAACAGCUUAGCAAUUUGUUCUUUUUUAUUUUAUAAGAAAGAUACAGUGUAUAUCUUUGGUCAGUGUAAAUUUAGUAUUUAGUAGUUUAGUAACAAACGUGUUACAAUCAAAAUAUAAAAAAUACGUCACUAUGAAGACAUGUCAGAUGGUGCAUAAAUUGAUUUAAAUUAUAAAUCUGUCGAUUAAAUUUAUAAUCUUGCAUAUAGAAAAGAACACAGUGUUAUUUUACAUUUUUUUUUCUGCCAAACUCCAAAAGUUUAGUGAUUGUUUGAGUAAUGUGGGUUUUUUUAUUCCCCAUACUGUCAACACACAAUAAUAUUUAUUAAGAGCUGCUACCUACACAAUGAUAAUUUAAUAUUUUAACAAUCCCUUGAGUAAGACAUUCCAGGUAAACAAAUAAUGACAUUUUGAGGUAACUCAUACCCCAAUAACUGUCCCAGCCCAUGCCCUAAGGCCUAACCUAUCUGAAAAUAUGUAGGUAUUAUUAUUUCUUUGAGUGUUUGAACUGCUUGUAGGAUAAAACUCUGGCACAUGGUACUUUGGUGAUGAAUUAUCUCUAUUCAGCUGUGAAGGAACUUGGUCAUUAUAAAUUAAGUUAUUACUUUGCUCAAUAGCACAAGUACAAUGCUUACUGGUGAGAGAUGCAUACCUCUCAGUACUAUAAUUACAUAAAUCAAUGAUGUCAUGCCUUGACACAACAAACAAAAAAAAUAUAGACUUAGUAAUCU